UAGGGAAUCUUCGGCAAUGGACGAAAGUCUGACCGAGCAACGCCGCGUGAGUGAAGAAGGUUUUCGGAUCGUAAAACUCUGUUGUUAGAGAAGAACAAGGACGUUAGUAACUGAACGUCCCCUGCCGGUAUCUAACCAGAAAGCCACGGCUAACUACGUGCCAGCAGCCGCGGUAAUACGUAGGUGGCAAGCGUUGUCCGGAUUUAUUGGGCGUAAAGCGAGCGCAGGCGGUUUCUUAAGUCUGAUGUGAAAGCCCCCGGCUCAACCGGGGAGGGUCAUUGGAAACUGGGAAACUUGAGUGCAGAAGAGGAGAGUGGAAUUCCAUGUGUAGCGGUGAAAGGCGUAGAUAUAAGGAGGAACACCAGUGGCGAAGGCGGCUCUCUGGUCUGUAACUGACGCUGAGGCUCGAAAGCGUGGGGAGCAAACAGG
rnacentral:rRNA from 1 species